AACGCAUCUUGCGCUCCUUGGUAUUCCAUGGAGCAUGCCUGUUUGAGUGUCACGUAAACCCUCACCCUUGUGAUGUCAAAGUCGCACGUGGUGGAUUUGGACUGUGCCGUAAUUGGCUCGUCCUGAAAUAUAUUAGCUGGCGCUGGUUAGAGUGCUCGGCAUGGUGUGAUAAUUAUCUGCGCCGUCGCCUUAGGCCUCUUCUGUGUGUGCUGCUUCCAAUCGUCCCUUGUGGACACUACAAUUUUAAGCUUUGGCCUCAAAUCAGGUAGGACUACCCGCUGAACUUAA
rnacentral:misc_RNA from 1 species